AUUGACCUCGGAUCAGGUAGGGAUACCCGCUGAACUUAAGCAUAUCAAUAAGCGGAGGAAAAGAAACCAACAGGGAUUGCCUCAGUAACGGCGAGUGAAGCGGCAACAGCUCAAAUUUGAAAUCUGGCUCCUUCGGGGUCCGAGUUGUAAUUUGUAGAGAGUGUUUCGGGGGAGACCGCGGUCUAAGUCCAUUGGAACAUGGUGUCAUAGAGGGUGAGAAUCCCGUAUGUGACCGUGGAUCGAACCCAUGUGAAGCCUCUUCGACGAGUCGAGUUGUUUGGGAAUGCAGCUCAAAAUGGGUGGUAAAUUUCAUCUAAAGCUAAAUACUGGCUGGAGACCGAUAGCGCACAAGUAGAGUGAUCGAAAGAUGAAAAGCACUUUGGAAAGAGAGUUAAACAGUACGUGAAAUUGUUGAAA
rnacentral:rRNA from 2 species